AGUGAACGCUGGCGGUAGGCCUAACACAUGCAAGUCGAACGGCAGCACAGUAAGAGCUUGCUCUUACGGGUGGCGAGUGGCGGACGGGUGAGGAAUACAUCGGAAUCUACUUUUUCGUGGGGGAUAACGUAGGGAAACUUACGCUAAUACCGCAUACGACCUACGGGUGAAAGCAGGGGAUCUUCGGACCUUGCGCGAUUGAAUGAGCCGAUGUCGGAUUAGCUAGUUGGCGGGGUAAAGGCCCACCAAGGCGACGAUCCGUAGCUGGUCUGAGAGGAUGAUAAGCCACACUGGAACUGAGACACGGUCCAGACUCCUACGGGAGGCAGCAGUGGGGAAUAUUGGACAAUGGGCGCAAGCCUGAUCCAGCCAUACCGCGUGGGUGAAGAAGGCCUUCGGGUUGUAAAGCCCUUUUGUUGGGAAAGAAAAGCAGCAGGUUAAUACCCCGCUGCUCUGACGGUACCCAAAGAAUAAGCACCGGCUAACUUCGUG
rnacentral:rRNA from 1 species